ACUCAAAGGAAUAGACGGGGGCCCGCACAAGCAGCGGAGCAUGUGGUUUAAUUCGACGCAACGCGAAGAACCUUACCUGGGCUUGACAUGUGCCUGACCGCCCUGGAAACAGGGUUUCCCUUCGGGGCAGGUUCACAGGUGGUGCAUGGCUGUCGUCAGCUCGUGUCGUGAGAUGUUGGGUUAAGUCCCGCAACGAGCGCAACCCCCGUCGCAUGUUGCCAGCAUUAAGUUGGGGACUCAUGCGAGACUGCCGGUGACAAACCGGAGGAAGGUGGGGAUGACGUCAAGUCAUCAUGCCCCUUAUGUCCAGGGCUACACACGUGCUACAUUGGCGCGUACAGAGGGUUGCAAGACCGCGAGGUGGAGCGAAUCCCUCAAAGCGCGUCUCGGUUCGGAUUGCAGGCUGAAACCCGCCUGCAUGAAGGCGGAGUUGCUAGUAAUCGCGGAUCAGCAAUGCCGCGGUGAAUACGUUCCCGGGCCUUGCACACACCGCCCGU
rnacentral:rRNA from 1 species